AGGGCCUUCUCGCCUUAAGGGCACCUAGUGCCUUUGACAACACUGAUUUAUGUUGAUAUAGCAAUGGCAGGAGAUAACUUAGAGUAAACGGCUAAGUUGAAAAAAUAUCUAACUUAUGAAUUUGAAAUAAAAAAAUCUUGGUAAGCUACAAUAUUUUCUUGGGAUAAAAGGUGCUAAAUCUGAGAAAGGAAUAUUUAUCUCUCAAGGAAA
rnacentral:misc_RNA from 1 species